rnacentral:rRNA from 1 species
UACGUAGGGGGCAAGCGUUGUCCGGAUUUAUUGGGCGUAAAGAGCGUGUAGGCGGCCAUACAGGUCCGUUGUGAAAACUGGAGGCUUAACCUCCAGACGUCGAUGGAAACCGUAUGGCUAGAGUCCGGAAGAGGAGAGUGGAAUUCCGGGUGUAGUGGUGGAAUGCGUAGAGAUCCGGAGGAACACCAGCGGCGAAGGCGGCAUCCUGGACUGGUCCUGACACUCAGGAGCGAAAGCGUGGGGAGCGAUCCGG